rnacentral:rRNA from 1 species
GAUGAACGCUAGCUACAGGCUUAACACAUGCAAGUCGAGGGGAAACGACAUCGAAAGCUUGCUUUUGAUGGGCGUCGACCGGCGCACGGGUGAGUAACGCGUAUCCAACCUGCCCAUCACUUGGGGAUAACCUUGCGAAAGUAAGACUAAUACCCAAUGACGUCUCUAGAAGACAUCUGAAAGAGAUUAAAGAUUUAUCGGUGAUGGAUGGGGAUGCGUCUGAUUAGCUUGUUGGCGGGGUAACGGCCCACCAAGGCGACGAUCAGUAGGGGUUCUGAGAGGAAGGUCCCCCCACAUUGGAACUGAGACACGGUCCAAACUCCUACGGGAGGCAGCAGUGAGGAAUAUUGGUCAAUGGGCGAGAGCCUGAACCAGCCAAGUAGCGUGCAGGACGACGGCCCUAUGGGUUGUAAACUGCUUUUAUGCGGGGAUAAAGUGUGGGACGUGUCCCAUAUUGCAGGUACUGCAUGAAUAAGGACCGGCUAAUUCCGUGCCAGCAGCCG